rnacentral:rRNA from 1 species
AUUGAACGCUGGCGGCGUGCUUAACACAUGCAAGUCGAUCGGUAACAGGUGUAGCAAUACAUGCUGAUGAGAGGCGGACGGGUGAGGAAUAUUUAGGAAUCUGCCCAUCAGCGGGGGACAACCCGGGGAAACCCGGGCUAAUACCGCAUACGCUCUACGGAGGAAAGCCGGGGACCGCAAGGCCUGGCACUGAUGGAUGAGCCCAAAUCGGAUUAGCUAGUUGGCGGGGUAACGGCCCACCAAGGCGACGAUCCGUAGCUGGUCUGAGAGGACGAUCAGCCACACCGGAACUGAGACACGGUCCGGACUCCUACGGGAGGCAGCAGUGGGGAAUAUUGGACAAUGGGGGAAACCCUGAUCCAGCGACGCCGCGUGGGUGAAGAAGGCCUGCGGGUUGUAAAGCCCUUUCGGUAGGGACGAAAGCUCUUGCUCCAACAAAACAGGAGGUUGACUUAACCUACAUAAGAAGCACCGGCUAACUCUGUGCCAGCCGCCGCCGUAAGAC